GACGAACGCUGGCGGCGUGCUUAACACAUGCAAGUCGAACGGAAAGGCCCUGCUUUUGUGGGGUGCUCGAGUGGCGAACGGGUGAGUAACACGUGAGUAACCUGCCCUUGACUUUGGGAUAACUUCAGGAAACUGGGGCUAAUACCGGAUAUGAGCUCCUGCUGCAUGGUGGGGGUUGGAAAGUUUCGGCGGUUGGGGAUGGACUCGCGGCUUAUCAGCUUGUUGGUGGGGUAGUGGCUUACCAAGGCUUUGACGGGUAGCCGGCCUGAGAGGGUGACCGGCCACAUUGGGACUGAGAUACGGCCCAGAGUCCUACGGGAGGCAGCAGUGGGGAAUAUUGCACGAUGGGCGGAAGCCUGAUGCAGCAACGCCGCGUGCGGGAUGACGGCCUUCGGGUUGUAAACCGCUUUCGCCUGUGACGAAGCGUGAGUGACGGUAAUGGGUAAAGAAGCACCGGCUAACUACGUG
rnacentral:rRNA from 1 species